rnacentral:lncRNA from 1 species
AGGCACGGGCUGCUUCUAGAUGAGCUAGACCUUCUAGAUGCACAUCAUUAUAGAAUCAAAACUUAAAUUUGCUUUUACCAUCGAGAGUUUGUUUUAUUAACCCAGUAAAACUAAUAAAUAAAUACUGAGAAAGGCACAUUUGAGCAAUCAAUUAUUUAUUUAUAUCAGCAUAUAGUUAGAGAAUAAGAGAAUGUUUUAUGAUGGGCAGAUACUACUACAGAUCUUAAGUCCUAAUAAGAUACCCCCAGCAUAUUAGUGCUAGAUUUAUAGCAACAAUUACAUUGGAUUCUUAAAUUUUAAUUUAUUAACAAUGGAAAAAGGGGGAAAGAAAGCACAAACAACAAAGCUGAUCACACUCAGCUGGUUAAUAAUUGAAACCUUGUUGUUUAAAAGAGGAACACGAACAGCUCCGAUCCGCUUAAGAGUCUUGGGCAUGCAUGAUACUUUCCAUUCACAUUCCACACACUUUCAAAAAUGUCUUCUAGUCAUAUGAUCCUCUUUUUCUGUCAUCCAUUAAAGCUCAAAAGCUAAAAAGGAAUCAGAAAAGAAGACGUUUUGCAAGGCUUUUUCUUUCUUUCUUUCUUUCUUUCUUUCUUUCUUUUCCACUUUGAUCGUGGCAAAU